rnacentral:rRNA from 1 species
GAGCCCUACGGGAGGCAGCAGUGGGGAAUAUUGGACAAUGGGGGGAACCCUGAUCCAGCGACGCCGCGUGAGUGAAGAAGUAUGUCGGUAUGUAAAGCUCUAUCAGCAGGGAAGAAAAUGACGGUACCUGACUAAGAAGCCCCGGCUAACUACGUGCCAGCAGCCGCGGUAAUACGUAGGGGGCAAGCGUUAUCCGGAUUUACUGGGUGUAAAGGGAGCGUAGACGGUGCAGCAAGUCUGAAGUGAAAUGCCGGGGCUUAACCCCGGAACUGCUUUGGAAACUGUGCAGCUAGAGUGCAGGAGAG